GUGUCGGCGAAGGGAAAUCACACACGUUCCGUCACAUGGCCCUGGGUGCCUUCCUGCUUGAUCACUGUCACCGCGACGAAAGCGCGGCGGCACAGAGUAGAGGGGGUUGGGUCAUGCGGGAAUCGUGGAGGCCUAAC
rnacentral:sRNA from 1 species